AGAUUUUCUGUUUCUAAAAGUUUAACUGUAAAUACUGUUAGCAUAUGGCUGAAUAUUGAACUUGAAACGUGUAAACAGCAAAUUCAUUAAUUGAGUUCAUGUUUUUGUUAUCUUUUCAACAAAAAAGCUUGCAGUAAAUGCUUUCAUUCUUAUCUUGUGUUUUUUGAUCAUCUCUUAUAGACCUGAACAAGUUCUUUCUCGUUUUGAAGUGACUUUGAAUCACUAGGAGACAAGGAGCAGUCUCUGAUCUGUGCCCUGCUCACAGUAUCUGGCACAUAGAUUCCAUCCCUGUGUCUACCUCCCUCCUCGGAGACACUUCUGACACGACCUCCACUGGCCUUGCGCAGCGCUUAGCCAGGAAGACCAACAAACAGGUGUUUGUCAGCUAUAACCUUCAAAACACAGACAGUAACUUCGCAUUACUGGUAGAAAACAGGAUCAAGGAAGAAAUGGAGGCUUUUCCGGAAAAGUUCUAGCAGAGUGGCAAAAGUGAGGAUUUGUAACUUAUGUACAAUAUACAUUUAAAUAAAUGGAUUGAAUUUCA